rnacentral:rRNA from 1 species
UUGAGGGUCCUAAAGGGCCGUUGGAGACCACAACGUUGAUAGGUGGGGUGUGUAAGCGUAGCGAUACGUUGAGCUAACCCAUACUAAUUACCCGUGAGGCUUAACCAUACAACACCCAAGAAGUGUUCUG